CAGCUGUACAGGGUCAAGCGGGACGAGUUUGGUCAGUUCUUGGGUGAGCUGGAGGAGGCCUGCAGCAGACCGCCUUCGGCCCUCUGCCCAUGGUCUGCAGAACGUGACACGAGCUCGAGCAGUCGCCAGGACCUGCCAGCAGACCUUGCAGACCGCUGCAGCAAACAGACCACCCACCACACUUCUAAAACUGAUGCUGAUACAGGACGUCGAUGGGAGCUGACAACGGCUGACGUGUCGGUGAACGGCGUGCUCUGUCAGCCUUCUGAUUCAAAUGAUGAUCACCAGCAUCGUGAUCCUAAUGACGACCACCUGCUUCACGAUUCAAGUGAUAAUCACCAUCUCGAUGCCGCCGUUACUGAAGCACCUUAAGGAUAAUCACCACCCCGACGAAGCUGUUGGUAAAACGCCUCAAGAAUAAAGUGAUAAUCACCAUCCCGCCGAAGCUGUUGAUGAAGCGCCUCAAGGAUGAAGUGAUAAUCACCAUCCUCUAUGAUGAGUGAGCUAAAAUCGCUCUCUAUUAUGAGUCAGAGAGCAUCCUGAUCACUUUAUUAAUAUGAAUCUAUUUUUUCACUAUUUAGUAAGAAUAUUAUUAUCUUUUAUUAUUGUAACUUCUAUAAGUCAAUAAUAAAGUAUUUGUUUGUUGACUAAUUUAGGAGGUAGUAUUAUAAGUUUCAUUGCACUGCCCCGCAUGUGUUGUAAAUUUUCUUGGUGGAGAGCUCAAUGUAGAUAUGUACUACUGAAGCGGAUUUGUAGUAUACUCUUAGGAAUAAAACGAGUGUUGUUUAUCUAUCUCAAGGGAAUUAUUUAUAUGUGUCAAAAUCAGUGCCUAUCUUGAUUAGACGUGAAUUAAGGAAGCGUGGUGAGUUCUGAGAUAACCGCACCACACAAAUCCGGUGUUAACUAGAACGCAAUACGAAGUUUUAACUGACGUGAAUACUAAGUUUAAAUUGACGUUGAAUGGAUUUUUUACGAUAUUUAAUGAUGAAAUUUGAAUAAUUAAUUGUGUUUCUAUUAACUCUUGAGACUUCUACAAUGUAUCCAUGUGUGUAAUAAUAAUUAUAUUUUUACAAUAAUG